rnacentral:tRNA from 1 species
UUAAUUAUAGUUUAUUUAUUAAAACUUUAAAUUGCAAAUUUAACAAAAUUUAGAAAUUAAUUAAU